rnacentral:lncRNA from 1 species
ACCCCAUCAAACCUACAACAAAAAUAACAAAAAAAGAGCUCACCUGCAUCAGCGUUGCGUGAGAUUUGAUUUUAUGAGCCAGGAGUAUCGUGGUUAUCUCCCGGUCACGACUCUUCUUCCUUUUUCCUCCUCUAGCCUACACUUUUGCGGCGUCUUCCUUUUUGUUCUUCUGGUUUUUUCGUGCGCCUCCUUAUCUCGUUGUGCUCUCUUCUACCUCUCGGCUCAGCCCUCACUUCCGUUCGAUCUCUUCUUUAUUUUCCUCUUUUUC